rnacentral:misc_RNA from 1 species
UCCUUCAAACCUACAAAAGAUGCAUGGAGCAACGUUACACAAUGUUAUUUAAACGAUUAAAAAGCUUUAUUCUCCCUUCUCAAGACACAAAUAAUGCAACGACACAGUCAUUAUGCAAUCACAUUAAAUGCAUGCUACAAGCCAGAAGUUGUUGAUCAAGCUCUAAUAUGCUCAAGAAACAUGAGUAGAAACACUGCACUAUUCAGCUUCUGACUAUUAAGACUUCUGCCCACCCACUUUAACAAUUUUAGAAGCUUUAUACCCAGCUCAACCAUGCAUAAUGCCCAAAUGAUAUGGAGUGGGCAGCAAGAUCCUUUUUCUCAAUUCUAUUCAAUUUAGGAACAAACUUUCUGCAUGUUGUGACAAUACAUUUUUUUCCAUUUUCCAUUUCAAACCACAAUUUAUGUCUGAAAGAUUACAAACUCAUGUCCAGGUAAGAUAAAACAUUACAAAUAUAUGUAGCAAAGAACUAACAAGAGGGAAAGGAAGAAAACCACCAUUCUUAACACUAAAACAGUUUCAACUCUACUGGAAUAUCAGAAGCGUUAAGGCCUACCCUUCUUUUAAUGUUAAUAU